GCCCGUGUGGCGGAAUGGUAGACGCGGCAGACUCAAAAUCUGUUGUUUGCAAAGACUUGGGGGUUCAAGUCCCUCCACGGGUACCA
rnacentral:tRNA from 1 species